rnacentral:tRNA from 1 species
GCGGGUAUAACUCAGUGGUUUAGAGUGAAAGAUUGUGGAUCUUUUGGUCGUGGGUUCAAUUCCCAUUACUUGCC